rnacentral:rRNA from 1 species
AGAGUUUGAUCCUGGCUCNNGNNGAACGCUGGCGGCGUGCCUAAUGCAUGCAAGUCGCACGCACCGAGCUUGCUCGGUGAGUGGCGCACGGCUGAGGAUCACGUGGGAACAUGCCUCCUUGUGGGGGACAACAGCGCGAAAGCGCUGCUAAUCCCGCAUACGCUCGUGGUAAACGAGGAAAGCGGCAACGCGCAGGGAGAGUGGCCCGCGGCCCAUCAGGUCGUCGGUGGGGUAAUGGCCUACCGAGCCUAUGACGGGUAGCUGGUCUGUGAGGACAGACAGCCAGACUGGGACUGAGACACGGCCCAGACUCCUACGGGAGGCAGCAGCAAGGAAUUUUCGUCAAUGGGCGCAAGCCUGAACGAGCAACGCCGCGUGGCGGAUGACGGCCUUCGGGUUGUAACGCCUUUUGCGGGGGACGAUGAUGACGGUACCCCGCGAAUAAGGCUCGGCUAACUCUGUGCCAGCAGCCGCGGUAAUAC